rnacentral:lncRNA from 1 species
UUAGACUACUCAGUUGCGCCCUAACAGCAUAACUUUGCAAUGAGUACUUUUUCUCCUUCAAUCGAACAAAGAGCAAAACCAAAUUAUAUUGUUCUAUUUUGCCCCGAGAGAGUAAAUUUGUAACGUAUCGAUAUCAACGUUCACAAAAACCAAAAUCGGAGCAACAUUAGACUACUCAGCUGCGCCCUUUCAAUAUAACUUUGCAACGAAUACUUUUUCUCAUUCAACUGAACAAAGAGUAAAACCUAAUUAUGUUGUUCUAUUAUGCCCCGAGAGUAUAAAUUUGCAGCGUAUCGAUAUCAACGUUCACACGAACCAAAACCGGACCAACAUUAGACUACUCAGUUGCGCCCUAAUAGUAUAACUUUGCAACGAGUAAUUUUUCUCAUUCAACCGAACAAAGAGUAAAACUAAAUUAUAUUAUUCUAUUAUGCCCCGAGAGUAUAAAUUUGGAACGUAUCGAUGUCAACGUUCACAAGAACUAAAACCGGAAUAACAUUAGACUACUCAGUUACGCCCUAACAGUAUAACUUUGCAAACAGUACUUUUUCUCAUUCAAUCGAACAAAGAGUAAAACCAACUUAUAUUAUUCUAUUAUGCCCCGAGACUGUAAAUUUGCAACGUAUUGAUGUCAUCGUUCACAAGAACCAAAACCGGAAGAAAAUUAGACUACUCAGUUGCGCCCUAACAACAUAACUUUGCAAACAGUGCUUUUUCUCAUUCAAUCGAACAAAAAGUAAAAUCUAAUUAUAUUGUUCUAUUACGGCCUGAGAGUGUAAGUUUGCAACGCAUCGAUGUCAACGUUCACAAGAACCAAAACGAGAAAAACAUUAGACUACUCAGUUGCUCCCUAAUAGUAUAACUUUACAACGAGUAUUUUUUCUCAUUCAACCGAACAAAGAGUAAAACUAAUUAUAUUGUUCUAGUAUGCCCCGAGAGUGUAAAUUUGCAACGUAUUGAUGUCAACGUUCAAAAAAACCAAAACCGAACCAACAUUAGACUACUCAGUUGCGCCCUAACAGUAUAACUUUACAACGAGUACUUUUUCUUCUUCAACCGAACAAAGAGUUAAACCUAAUUAUAUUUUUCUAUUAUGCCCCGAGAGUGUAAAUUUGCAACGUAUCGAUGUCAACAUUCACAAGAAACGAAACCGAAAAAAUUUUAAACUACUCAGUUGCUCCCUAACAGUAUAACUUUGCAAUGAGUACUUUUUCUUAUUCAAUCGAACAAAGAGUAAAACCUAAUUAUAUUGUUCUAUUAUGCCCCGAGAGUGUUAAUUUGCAACGUAUCGAUGUCACGUUUACAAGAACCAAAACCGGAACAACUUAUGACUACUCAGUUACGCCCUAACAGUAUAACUUUGCAAACAGUACUUUUUCUCAUUCAAUCGAACAAAGAGUAAAACCAAAUUAUAUUAUUCUAUUAUGCCCCGAGAUUGUAAAUUUGCAACGUAUAGAUGUCAGCGUUCACAGGAACCAAAACCGGAAGAACAUUAGACUACUCAGUUGCGCACUAACAGCAUAACUUUUCAAUGAGUACUUUUUCUCCUUCAACCGAACAAAGAAUAAAACCUUAUUAUAUUGUUCUAUUAUGCCCCGAGAGUGUAAAUGUGCUUUGGAGCAACCACGACGAGCGCGAGGCCACUUGGGAGUUGGAGAGCGCACUGCGGGAGCGCUAUCCCCAUCUUUUUCAGAUGGAUGCUUGAGGUACUGGUCUUUUCGAGUUUUGCGGACGAAACUCCUUUUUAGGAGGGGUGAAUGUAACCCACUGGACCUUUGCAAAUUGCGAGGUUCGAGUGAUUGGAUGUGUACCGAGCUGUUCCACACUUGGUGGAGGGUCGUAGAAUGUUUUCCGACCUAAAAAGUUCGAACCUGAAUUUUGGAUGAGUCCUGAGAGUUUUUACUCUGGGGGACCGGACCCUGAGAGGAGAGACCGGUCCCCCAGUGAGCAGUGUGCGGCAGCUGGCGAGGCAACCGGUCCCUGGCAGGCGAGACCAGUCCCUGAGCGCGUCUACGCGGGGAGAGACCGGUCCGGUGCGGGGAGAGACCGGUUCCCGAACGUGGUUUUUCUGGGGGCAGGCCGAGAGACCGGUCCCAUGUCGGGGAGACCGGUCCCUCUGGGCGAAAACUGCCCAGUCCGAGCUUUGCACAGGGAGCAAAGUUGAGGGACUUAGUUGGAUUUUGUUACACUAGAUGGCCUAUAUGGCCACUCCACUCUCCCUUCUCCUCAUUUCUCCCCUCACACCCUCUCCACACCUUUGUUAGAGAGAGAAGAAGGAGGAGAAGAAGAAGGAGAAGAAGAGGAGGAGGAUCUAGCUUGGACUUGGAGCUUUUCUUUUUCCUCUCCUUCUCUUCCCACCUUGUUGUUGCUUGAAGGCUUAGACUUGGAGCUUGCAAGAGAGGAGACCUUCACCCUCGGAGCUUGGAUUGAAGCUUCUAAGGAGGUUAGUUGCUCUUUUCCUUCCUCUAGACCUUGAUUUGUUGGUUUUUAGGAGAUGGAACCCUAGAAUGGGAUCUUAGGGUUUAAUUUGGGCGUUUUGAUUCUAGGGCUUUUGAGGCUAGAUUGUUUGGAUUAGAACCUUCCUUGGGCUUGGAUUGGAAGGGUUCUAGCUCUCUUUUGGAGCUUUGGAAGAGAUUUCAUCUCUUGAGGUGAGUUUUGGCCCUUUUGGCUUCUAGGUUAAUGUUUGAUCUUAAAGUUGAUCAUAAUGCCCGUGUAUCUCUUCGCUCAAUACUUUUAGGGUAUUUUGAGACUCGUGGACAACUUCGUUCGGCGAAACGAGGCACUACGCGACGGUUUGGUGGGUUUGACCUAGCCUUUAUAUGAGAAAUUCUCAUAUAUGGUGAUNACCGAGAACUAACCUUUCCUCGACACCAACCCAAUCACCCCACAUGGGUGACAUCGUCACCAAACGUCAUAUCCAACCGCGAAUUCACGACUUCGCCGGCGCCUAACAGCACAAUUUAGCUAUCGCAAUUGUGCACGGUGAACCUUCUUCUCCGCCCAAUCCUAGAGCGACUCUUUCGCUCACCAUAUUCUAACGGAUAGGGACCGACCUACCCUUCCAGUGAGAGUCUCAACUACCAUCGCCAUAUGAUUACUGGCACACUCUCCCAACCUCACAGCUAAGCACCUAGGCUUCAACUCAUCUUGUCCUCCUCGACCAAUCGUCAUCCCGAGGACGAAAUGCAGUACAUAAACAGCACACCGUCUACCUUUCAAAUUUCCACCAGUUCCAUUAAUAGUGCGAAUCGAUAUCCAACGAUUCACCAUAUUCCGAUACCAAUCCCAGUCGAUCACACGAGGGACAUAUUUUGCCUCGAUCGCCACACUAGCUCAACUCCUUUCGGUUGGCACAUUUCAACAUGGGCGCUCUUAAUUGCCUCUUACCAUUCAACCAAUCAUUGCCUGCACACUCUACCCGUCGGGCCGGAGUCGUCAUCAAUCACCCUCACUUAACGACGUCAAUCAAUUCCGCCAAACACCACUCUCCUUCGAGAGCAAUACCACCUAUCGAUUUGAGUGGUUAACCAUCACUUCUCAUACAUAGAGGUAGACCUCCUCGAUCCACACGAGAGUCCACCAAUUGGUACUCUACCAUUAUCGCCACUCGAGAGUCUAUCUCACCAGGUAUGACUCUUUGUUACAUCCACGCUCCCCGAUGAACCUCACUCAGGUUCUUCAACCUGCAUCACUUCACGCGAUAUUUACCGUGCAUCGCCCAACCGCGAAUGCUUCAACCACAUAUGGACUUCGACUCUACAGUGAGAUGGCUCAUUUCGGCACAUCUACCAACUUCGGUUCCCUAGGAGCCUAGUCUUUCCAAACCUCACGUGGCUUAAACCACCCCAACGUCUAUUGGAGAACACCUCCAUUUCUCUAUCACGUCCCAACAUCGCAUCACUUUCGCGAUGAGUUCCCGCGAACACUUUGUUCGUGUAUCUAAUCGCAACUUACCAACAGCGCCAGACUUGGCAAUUCCAACACGCGAGCAGUACGACCGAGCCUCCGCUCCAAUGGUCACUACGCUUAAACCACCAAUUCACUAUUGGUCAACUAGAUUGUUCACCUCAGUUACCACAGGUGGUCCACAGACCAACCAUCCAACGUAGGCUUACCGCCAACCCGUCUCGAUACUACGCAGCGUCUCUCAUUCGUAACGCAGACCCAAUCAUCACUUAGUGAAAGUCCUCAUUUGAGACUUCGCACACACUCCAACCAGGAGACCUCAACCACUCCAUAUCCUUGGGUCAUAAUCACGCUUACGACUCAUUAUAACGAGCCAUGUUCACCUUUAUCGGCUCUUAAACAUCUAAGCCCUCUCAAUUUCUAUAUCUAUAAACAGCCCUUACUGGGCAAUUCCCGCAGUCGGGGACCGGUCUCUCCCCGCAGGGACCGGCCUCUCUCUACAAUGCAACCGGUCUCUCACCGAAGGACCGGUCUCACGGGGACCGGUCUCUCCUUCAGGAACCGGUUCCCGAGAGCUCAAUUUCCAGGACUUAGCCGAUUUUUCUCCUCUGUUCGGCUGCUGCGCGCACGGGACCGGUCUCUCCCUGCAGGGACCGGUCCCCGAGAGCCCAAAUUCUGGAACUUCACCAGAAUUGCAGUUUCGCUCUCUCGGGUCCCCCUACACCAUAAGUAUAGGCUCCAAAGCACUCUUAGCCUACACCAACUCAUUCCAUUCCGCGUUCCGCUCGUUUCGACAGAACUCGGCACGACAUACAGGAAUGUGAUACGCUACAUUUGCACCUUAUACUUGUGCUCGAUCUUAUGCUUACGAUACACAAGCAUGAAUUUUCCUCAGCAUUGUUGAGGUACCACUCGGCCACUCGCCAAAACUCGGCGAUUGCUCGACUAGCUCCACCACAACGGGGACGUUACAACCACCACUCGAGCCCUGGGAACAUCACCCGAACUCUUGAACCACAGGGUCAUCCUCAAGCAUCCCGACUUAACUCUCACAAUUUCGCUACUCAUAUUGCCUAGAGAGUUAGUCCAUCAACUCCACCUCUAUCUCGAGCUUAACUCUCGGCUCGCAACCGGCCACUUGCCGGUCUAAUCCAAUCACGCCUAUCCACUUAGUAGGUGAUAUCACUGUUACACAUGCAUACCAGGGGAUUAAUUUUAUCCACAUCUCGGUCUCAACUAUACUUAUGCAUGCAACGUUUCGAAUCCGCCUUAGAUCGGACCAUACAAUCUCUUCCAACGCACCACUCCUGCUACAACACCCUCAGUAGCAAUGGAUUCCACAACUAGGGUCGCUUUCUCAUAGCCACUUGACGCUCAUCGCGGACCCUCCGAUCGCAACAUCGACCAUACUUGCUCUCUAGACCAUGCCGCAGGCGACACACUCAUCGACGGUCUCAAAAGAUGGAAAUCGUCGCCCGCGCUAAGGUCCGGCUAUCUACCAACAGCACUCAACCCUUAUUCGGGUCGGUUGCCAACACCAACCAUAUCAUCUACCUCACAACGCACACCCCUGCGUCCGGUAGGAACCACCACAACCAACACCUCCCUACAAGGUCAACAAAAGACCUUGAAGUCGCAACCACGACUUUCUCGGGGUUGCCGAAAAUUUGAUCGACCACCCGACCGACUCAUCUAUCGGGUCACUCCCUAUCUCGCAACCAACCGGCACGAAUCCUCCAAAGAGAACUUCCACGGAGUCAUUCCAUACAUGUCCGUCCCACGGAUAUUACUCCAUCACAAUAAGCGGAUCAACUUCCUUAGGAAACCAUCCACAACUCUCAUGAGCCUCCAAUCCCUCUAUUCCCUGUGCAUUGCAGCCUCCUGCUGACAUUGCACCACGUCGGCUCGUCACUUUGCCACUACGACUAGUACAGUCAAUAGGCCUCAGAGCCCCAAGUCUCCACUAUGCUCGGCUAACUCUUGCACAUCACUAGUCCCGGUCCAUAUCGAUCUCCUUAAAGAUCGGCCACGCGUAACUACCGAACGUACAACAACUCAACCCUCAAAGUCAAGCGCGCGACACCUACACGCAACGCUAUCCACGACUCAAAUCCAGGCAAAAGUCAUGCAAGGGAGCCUAUUUUCAUCACUCGGUUUCAUGUUGUGUGCACCCAACACGAACACUCCAUAAUGAAAAUACACUACACCUUGGAUUCACCUCUAACAUCCGUUAUAGAGGCAUACCAAACACGACCCAAUUAGUUAACCUUUCGCCACAAUUUCAAAUCCUCGUUACAUUUCAAGAACCUAAAGCCUUACGGUUUCCCACCUAUAGUCCCUAAGUCCAUCCUAGACUUUUGCUUUCACUUACUCUGAUACCACUAUAUCUGUCACGCCCCGGGACCGCCAAUUUGGUCGGUUCGGGCACGUCAACAGACGCCGAACGGACAGCACCUCCCCUGUCCGCCCAAGGCUCCACCAAUACAUGUAUAACGAUAGCAAUUCAAACAUAAUGAAUGCAAGUAUACACGGCUUGCACGAGGGCAAGCAACAACCAAAUAUAAGUGAGAGCAGUCUAACUAUUACAUUUAUGCAUUGUAUCUUGAUCACUUUCAAUCAAAUACAAAGCUCAUGCAUUUCUUUACAUUCAUUCAUCUCAAUAUACAAUUGCAUCUCUCAAAUGAACUUAAUACAUUUCCACCUCUCACAUGAUUUUAUUACAUUUACAUUUUACAUUUUUACAUCAUCGACAUAAUAGAUGAAAUAUACAAGAGUGCCUCUAUACAUAAAGGUAGAACACUACCUAGAGCACGAUAACCACGCCACGAGCCCCGAUCGCCCCGCUCGCGCUAGAACCUGCAUGGUUAGUGGGAUGAGAACUAGAAGAAGUUCCCAGUGGGUUCGGCCACUGACUGCGCCGAUUCGCCCACUAGGUCUAUUUCAGGCAUAUGUAAUUCAAUAAAGAAGGAUAACAAACCAACUAAUGCACUUCUAAUACAAUGCCUGCAAGAAAGCAAAUCACAGAUAGAUAUUCAUAUUCAAAUACAUGAUGAUUAUGCAUGCAUGUCCUUUUCACUUUCCUUUAGUCUUUACACAAUCAACCUGGGGUGCUCCUGGUUUACCCCAACUCACAGUCCACACACUUUCCGUUGGCUUUUACCCAAUCAACCUGGGGUGCUCCUGGUUUACCCCAACUCACAGUCCACAUAUCCCGUCUAACGGGGGAGGCACAAGGCACAACCACCCGAAGGAUCUUCGCCGGGCACGUCCACCCGUGGUGUUUGUUCACUCCGGAGUACACCGCUUGUGGAGGAGCGACCUCCACAAGCCGGAACCAAUACAUGUGAGUAUGAUCCCCUCCUCAAUUUGAGGAGGUAUAGCCAAACCUGUCUCAAUGCCACAAUGCCGAUGAAAGGUCUUUUACUUAUUCAUGCAUAUACUUCCAUUUCCCAAUAUCACAAUGGUCCUGAUGCCACAAUAAGCUAAAUCUUGUUUAGUCAUUUCCUUUAACCAUGAUGCCACAAUACCGAUGAUAGGUCCUUACCUAUUCAUGUAUGUCACUUUACUAAGCCACAAUGGUCACAAUGCAUAGAAUGGUCUUUACUUUAUCUAGCAUAUCAUGCUCUUAGCCACUUUUGCCAUUAUUCUCAUAUUGCUCAUAAGGGCUUACCCUACUUAGCACAUCAAUUCAUAUUGUCACAAGGUCACAAUAUCUAGGGCCACACUUGCCACGAUGUCCACUAAUGGGAUAGUCAAUAUUUCACAAUGCUUUUAAGGUUUUACCUUAUCUAGCACAAUAUGUCCUCGGUGCCAAUCAUGUCACUAGAGUCAAUGUCACCUUUAUUUACUAUGGAUCAAGUCUUUUCUCACUUUCACAUACAUAUAGGGUUGUUCAUUUUCUCGUUCUCAUGGUUCUACAAUAUAUUUGCAAUGUUCAUAAGCAGAUAAUUGAUACAAUCAACAUUUAUCUCAUUACCCUACAUGCAUGAGUGCAACAUUAUCAAUAUGCUCAAAGAAGUGACAUAGACAUAGAAAGAGAUCCGGUGUUUCCGGACAGCACCCCCCACCUUGUAGGAAUGCCGAGAAGUUCCGAUUCAAUUUUCACGAUUUUUAGACACCUACGCCGCGAGCUGCGGCCAUCUGUACCAAUUUAGCUUGUUUCUUCAAUAUCUUCGUACCGGCUCGACGAAUCGACGAACCGAGCGCACCAACGCGUUCGUUGACCUACCAAUUAGGUUAACAAGAGAUCAAACUCAAGUUAGAUCUCAACUUUACAAAAUUCCCAAAUCUAACCCCUAGGGUUUAUCAUCUUUCCCAAAUAGGUCCCUAGACCAUAGAAAUCCAUGAAUAACCUCACCAUGACAUCUCCUAGAAGCUAGAUCUAGAAGGAAAAUACCAAACCCUAACAUCACAACCAUAAAACCUUCAAAUCUUAGGUUACUUAUCUCAAAUGGAAGCUCUCCUCCAAGCUAGGUUGCCAUGAGAGGGUUCCAUCUCCACCAAGCCAUCUUUUCUCCAUCAAAACUCCACCAUUGGAGCACCUCAAGGAGGGAGAGGGAGAGAUCUAGAGAGAGAGAGAGCUCUCAAGUUGGUGUUGGAGAGGAGAGAAAUGAGGGCUAAACCUCAUCUCUCCAACAUAUAAACUCAUAUAUACACAUUUGCACUUAACCCCCCACACCCCUCUAUGUUUAACACAAUGAUCCAGCUCAUACUGGGCAUUUUCGGGUCUCUGGGACCGGUCCUAGGGUUGAGAGACCGGUCCCCCGAAGGUCCAAAAAUUCUGCACCUUCCAGACAGCCAAAUUUUCAGCAUUUUCAGCUUCGGGGUCCGUUUUCGCUCGUUUUCGCUCGUUUGACCUCCGAUUCGUUUCAAAUCGAACCGAGACUCAUAAGACAUGUUUUCGAGCGUAUUUAAACCAUCUUUCCAUCCAUGCCCUUGCUAGAUUUAGUCCAUGGUCCAUCUUAGCCUUUCAGGCUCCGUUUUCGCCCCCUACGCGCAUUGAAGCAACCGAAUGCUUCCGAACUUCACCGUAACCAUUCUAACGGCUUUCCAAGCUAACAUACACCAUAACUUCAUAAUUAUAGAAGUUCGGUAUGUUACACGGGGUGUGACGCCUCGACUUCCCAGGGAUCACCCAUCCUAGGACUACUCCCGUCCUAGCACGCUUAACUCUCUUAACCUCUUGGGUCUUUGCCACCACCCAAAAUGCUUAAGCCGGGUUAAGAGUUUAGCCCUAUUAUAUCUUAUAUAUAGGACUAUCUGGGGUCUCACACGGGGCGUGACAGAGGCAGAGAAAGAGCGGGCUUUGACGGCCCUAAUGACCUUCAAGAAGUUUGAUCCGCCUGUCUUCAAUGGAGAGAAUGUUGAUCCAUGGAUCAUGGAGAUGUGGAUUGGCUCUAUGGAAACGCUCUUUGAGGAGCUGUACACCUUAGAGCGGGACAAGGUGCCCUUAACUGUGCAUUGCUUGAAGUAGUCGGCAAAGGUGUGGUGGAAAGGCAUUCGACGGAAUCGAUCGCCUAGUCUCCCUCCUAUGGCAUGGGAUGAGUUUCGGGGAUUGGUGUUUUCGACUUACUUCCCCGACACUGAAAAGAGAAAGCUCCAGGACAGGUUCAGGAAGCUGCGGCAAGGAAACCGCUCUGUGAGAGAAUAUGAACGGGAGUUCUCUCGUAUCGUGAAUUGUGUCCCGGAUGUGGUACGGGAUGACGAGGAUAUGGCCGAUUGGUUCCUGCGUCGACUUCGACCAGAGAUUUACGAGAGGGUGCAAAUCUUCAAGCUCACAAUCUUCGCGGAGGUGUUGGAUCAAGCGCUGUUGGCAGAGCACGGCGAGGCUUUUGUGCGUGAGGAGCACGACUCUUCUGAAUGUGAGCGGGGAGGGGUGAGGCCAUUGUCGAGCGGUUCGGGUGGACAAUCAAGUUCUAGGCGCCACUCGAAGUCGUCCUCUACCCGGUCCUCCCCCGGAUGCGUGAUUGGCGGUGGUUCCCACUGGGCUCGGCGAUGCGUGCUGCACGAUGGUAGGUGCCUUCGUUGUGGGCAGCCAGGCCAUAUGCGGGACGAGUGUCCGCAAGGGUAUGACCAGACCCUUCUUUGCAAACAGUGCUUUUUCUCAUUCAAUCGAACAAAGAGUAAAACCUAAUUAUAUUGUUCUAUUAUGGCACGAGAGUGUAUGUUUGCAACGUAUCGAUGUCAACGUUCACAAGAACCAAAACCGAAAAAAUAUUAUACUACUCAGUUGCUCCCUAAUAUACAGAGUUACUCGCACUGGCGAGUUAAGUACUAUGUACAUAAGCUCGAAAUAAAACAACUACCUGCAGUAGGGUGCCUCUAGCUCUGCUCGGCGGGUAGGGCUCUAACUCGCGACGCCCUUGCCUCGAUCCUAAUCCGCGGAAGGCGCAACAGCCGAAACCUGUGGCUCUGCAAAACAGGGGUAACAACUGGGUGUGAGAACUACUGUAAAAACAAGUAGUCCUCAGUGGGUACCGCCCAAAACAACAUCGGUCCACCCACUAAGUCUACAGAAGGGAGCAAGAAUAGUCGGAAAAGCAGGAAGUAAACUCUACCGCUAUCAAUCACUACACUAUCAUGCUCUACACUAACCAACUGUAGGAAAUGUCAAAUCUGACCCAAUCCAUCAGGCUGACUGUAGGCAUACCCGUCCCUGGGACUGUGUGAACACACCUGUCCCUGCCAGUUGUGACUAUCAGCUACCUCCACACUCUAGUCCGUGGAAAGCAAGUGCAACGGCAUGAGCGACACCAACGCGAAAGCAUAAACCGUCUCCAGAGUGGGCACUCGUGGGCGUACCCACCCGAGUAUGCAGCGUAUCUCUAUCGAGCUCAAUCAGGCUCUGUCAAGCCAAAGUCCAAGUAAACCUACUCUAACUGGUCUAACAACAACAAGUAACGUGCCUCGGCACAAUCUGACGCAAAACGGCGAACUGGCCCACCGUCAACCCCAACGCGCCAAAAUUCUGAAACAGCCCAAACGACCCUGUAAAAAUCCAUCGGCGUACCAGCACGAGCAUAAAUAUAUUCUAAACUACCUGGAGUACUCGUCUCGAGGAUACUGCGACAGUACAAUUUUAUAACGGCUCCUAGAGCUAAAUUUAGGCAGUUUAAACAAGUGACAGGUCCAAAUCGCAGGUUUUCUCCUAAUUUCAAAUUCAACUCAAACAUGUAUAACCUACUCAAUUAUUACCACAUGCUCCAAAUUCAGAUUUGCAAUCUACCAUAAUAAUCCAUUAAUUCGAGCUAGAAUAGAUUAUCCAAAAUUGAAAUCUAUACAUGUCGACGAUUAUGAACUUAGGAGUAAAACCGAUGUAAACCCACCUCAAAGCUAAUCCAUGGCAGCACGGAACUCCCUCGGCUGCGGCACAACCUGCUGGAUCAACUGAAAAUGUCCGAGUCUCGAAAUCAAGCUAUCUCCAAGCUAUCAACAUCAAAAAUCCACAAUUCAGUCCAAAUACACAGCAGCAGAGAAGAGAAGGGUUUCGACCAAGCUAACCUUCACCAAAAUCCAAAAGUAAUGGCUUCGUGGAUUCCUCUCGCAGUCCCGAAUCCAACGAACCAAGUCUCGUCGCAAUCCGAUGCUCCUACGUCGAGUACGAGCUGAAAUACUAACAGUCAACGAUGAAUUUCAGCAAACAACAUCACUUGAGUUCGAAGUAGUAAGAACUUGCCCAAAAACAAUGGAAAUGCUGAAUUACCCACCUCGACAACACCAAGCACCGAUGCGACAGCAAAAACGGCGAAAACCUACGCUCGCCCGGCCUCCUCGCGCUACCCCGGCAUCAAACAUGUGCUCGAAUGGCUCCGCGGCGCGACGUCGGCAACGAAAUCUCCAACCGAGCUCUCUUGCCUUCAACCGGUUAGAGAGAGUGAGAGGGGAAGAAAGAGCACAAGGAAACCCUCUCUCUCUCAGCUCACAGCAACCUUUGUAGAGAGGGAGUUGGAGGGAGAUACAAACGAGGUGGAGAUUUACACAAUUACCCACUCACCUACCCUGGUGUACCGGUACACGGGCCCGCGUACCGGUACAGUAGCCAACCCGAGAGCAACCCGCGAGCGGCCUUGUCACGCCCCCGACCGCACAACCCAAAAACGGUACCGAUUUGGUCCGGUCCGAGGGCGGCAGGCGUAAGGCAGAACGGACAGAGUCUCCCCUGUUCGCCCAAGGCUCCAACAACGAGACUGUGUACACAAGUUCCCAGGAAAAUAACUUGAAUACAUACACAAUCAAUCAAUAACAACGAAAGCACAAACAGUGCUAUACAAUACGAGAGCAAGCAUCACGAGUAAUAUAACCAUACAAGUGAAUAAAAGAGAGAUGCACUUAACUUACUAAAUUCGUUUAACUUUAUACAAUCAUUCAUCUUUUUACAAUUCUUCCAAAAGUAUAUAACAUAUACGAUCCUCUCAAAACCUCACCCUAUACAUCAAUCUACUCUCGAAAUAUAAAGCAUAGGGUGGAGCUAAUGCAAGGUAAAGUAAAGCUAUCUACUAGUACCACACCGCUAGGGCGCUAUGCCCUUGCCGCGAUCCUCACCGGGGGCGCUCGAGCUCGGACCUGCAACGUGGUGGAGUGAGAACUACGAAUAUUUCCCAGUGGGUUCGGCCGCCGACUCCGCCGAUCUCCCCACUAGGUCUUAAGGAGGCACGGAUAGAUAUGCAGAUAAAUAAAUAUAUGGAAACGAAAACAUAUUCAAUAAUGAGCAUCUAUGAACUAGAAUCUAUCAAUGCCUCAAUCCUGUGUAAUGCAUGCAUGGAACUCAUAGUAAGAUGGCCAACUAUCAACUACUAUGUUCAACAACAGAGUCAUUCAUCUAAUUACCCAAUCUCUCGGCGAACACAAAGGCUCGCUCACAGUCUCACGUGUAUCAAUCUCAUAGGGAAGGUGGCUAGGUAUCACCUACCCCGAGACCGCCUGCGGACUCUACACUAGUCCAAGGGCACUGCACUGGCCCCCUCGCGUGCCAAACUCCGGAGUGCACUACCUGUGAGGCGCUACCACCACAAGUGCAGACAGGCUAAGUAAGCUCGAUCCAAUCUCAUGAACUGGGAACACCCUAACCAACUAGGAUUGGUGUCACUGAAGAAUCAGGUGUUCAUCUACUCAAUCUCAUAGUGUCUCAACUACACUAUAGUUCUCAAGUUCGAUGUCAACAAGAUGCCACUCGUUCCGGGUUCCUUGUUAACUAGAUGCCACUCGUUCUUAUUACACUAGUUUACAAUAUACUAGGUUCUUAUUCACAUAGACAUAUUCAUCGCAUAUAGGGUUAACUACCUCAUAGUGUUCAACUCAUGCAUACUAGGUUCUCAUCCAUUGUAUUCACAACCCAAACUAUCACUAGCAUGCAAGGAUAUGCACAAUUACAUUUAACACCCUAUAAUGCUAUGUUACAGUAUGAAUUUAAUCGACAUAAUAACCCAGACAUAGAAAGCAGCUCGACUGCUUCGGGAUGGCACUCCCCCACCUUUUGGUCGUGCCGCGCGACUAGACAACUCGACGCCGCGGUCUUCGUGCGUCGCUUCAGCACCUCGGGGCAAAACGAACCCCCGAGUAUCAGUUUCGGCGAUAUCUUCGCACCCGCUCGUUGGAUCGACGAACCGUCUUCGCCUACGCGUUCAGCGACCAAGCAAUUAGGUUUAUGACCACUUGAAAUAGAUCAAAACCCUAGCUUUGCUAAAAACCCCAAAACGUGCCCUAGAUCUCGACAACGGAGAAAUCUGCGGUGCGAGCUUCGAUUUCGAGCUCGAACCAUCUCUUUAACUUCAAUAGGUUCCAUUCGAACCAUCUCCAAGCGAUAAAAACCCCAAACCCUAAAUACACCAUUAAUGGGUUUAGAGCUUACCUCAACACCAAGCUAAAGAGGGAGAGAAGAAGAUGCCUCCUUCUUCUUCUUAGUCUCCUCUUUCUCUUUCUCUUCCUUCUUCUUCUUCCUCUCCUUCUUCUUCUCCUUCUUCUUCUUUCCUUUCUAAAGAGAGAGAGAGGGAAAGAGUGUGAGAGAGGGAGAGGGAGCAACUGAGAGGGAGAGAGAGAGGUCCCCCCACCUCUAAUAAAGGCCAUUUUGCAGAUAGCCCCCUCAACUUUUCAUCUAAUACACAGCCCUCACUGGGUUGUUCUCGUAGCGAGGGACCGGUCCCAGGUCGGGGAGACCGGUCCCCGAAGACCACCCAUUCUGGCAGAGAGGAUUUCGCGUUCGGAAACCGGUCCUUACCUAAGAGACCGGUCCCCGGGAGACCGGUCCUUGUCGGAGAGACCGGUUCCCGAGAGCUAGGUUCUCAGGACUUAGCCAAAUUUCGGCAAAUCACGCGGGGCCAACGUUCGGGAACCGGUCCUUGCCUCCAGAGACCGGUUGCACCGAGGACCCCCGCCAGCCCAGCCUGAUGGGACCGGUCCCUCCCUGCCAGGGACCGGUCCCCGAGAGCAAAAUCUGCUCCAGUGCAGAUUUUUGCACUGCAGCUCUCGCGGACUCUUCCUCAAUGCAUUCUAGGCACUCCAAUCACCUUCGGGCUUUUCGAAGCCCACACCCUCUACAAACAGUCGAUUCUUAAUGAAGUCCAAUCCUCGGCCUUCGAGAAUUUACUUCCUCACAGGCCUGCUGAAGUGUACCGGCACACCUUGAUGGCUGUAACGGUACAGCUAGCAAAACAUCUGCUAAUUUGCAGGUUUCUUAGCCGAAAGCUGCCCUCGCGUCGCACGGAGUCCGUUUUGCGUCUAUUUGACGCCAACGCGAUUCAGACUUGUCCCGACACUCCACAGAGCUGCCGACAAGCCUCCCCAGCUGAACACUAAGGAUCUCACAAUAUCGAUGCAAACGUUCACAAAAACCAAAACCGGAACAACAUUAAACAACUCAGUUGCGCCCUAACAGAAGAACUUUGUAAACAGUGGUUUUUUUUCAAUCGAACAAAGAGCAAAAUCCAAUUAUAUUGUUCUAUUAUACCCCAAGAGUCUAAAUUUGUAACUUAUCGAUGUCAACGUUCACAAGAACCAAAACCGGACCAACAUUAGACUACUCAGUUGCGCCCUAACAGCAUAACUUUGCAAUGAGUACUUUUUCUCCUCCAAUCGAAUAAAGAGCAAAACCAAAUUAUAUUGUUCAAUUUUGGCCCGAGAGAGUAAAUUUGCAACGUAUCGAUGUCAACUUUCACAUAAACCAAAACCAGACCAACUGUAGCCCACUCAGUUGCGCCCUAACAGUAUAACUUUGCAAUGAGUACUUUUUCUCAUUNCGUACCGAUGACAACGUUCACAAGAACCAAAACGGGAAGAACAUUAGACUACUCAGUUGUGCCCUAAUAGCAUAACUUUGUAAUGAGUACUUUUUCUCCUUCAACCGAACAAGGAAUAAAACCUAAUUAUAUUAUUCUAUUAU